rnacentral:ncRNA from 1 species
UCAGCAAAGUAACAACGAACUGUGAGAAGUCAGCAGAGGUCAUAGUGCCGGAAAAAUUUUUUCAGGAAGG